rnacentral:rRNA from 1 species
ACGGAGGAUGCAAGCGUUAUCCGGAAUCAUUGGGUGUAAAGGGCUCGCAGGCGGAUUGAUAAGUCAGUGGUGAAAUCCUACGGCUCAACUGUAGAACUGCCGUGGGUACUGGCGGACUAGAGUACAGUUGAAGAGGGCGGAAUUCCUGGUGUAGCGGUAGAAUGCGCAGAUAUCAGGAGGAACACCGAUGGCGAAGGCAGGUCUCUGAGCAUUAACUGACGCUCAGGAGCGAAAGCAUGGGGAUCGAACAG